GCCCGCGGCUGCCCGCACCCGGAUCCCAGCAUCCUGUUCGGACCUGGCCGGCUAACUGCCGCUUACACGCUCUUUUUUCACCUGCAGUUUUAAGAGUUUUUAACCUGCAGUUGCCGUAACUUCCCUCGGAGCCAGCAGAAGACUCCCUCGCUGAGGCUGCCUCCAAGGGUUAAAGGGCCAGCCAGCGACAACGUUUACUGCGUUCUCUGUUACUUAUGUGCCAGUCUACACGACAGUCUUUGGUGCCUCUUUUUAAUCCCGAUUUUAUAGGAGAAAAGGUUAAGUUGUUAUUUUAUCAAAGAGGUUGUGAGCAUCUUAGGGUGCUGAAACCUAAGGAGACCUAAAUUCUAAGGAGACCUCUGAGCAAUUCCACCCCUUGUGGAAACUAACAGACCAUUGUAAUUAGCACACCAGGCGGCCAUGAAGGUACAGCCGUGCGAGGAACAAAGCACGGCCUCGGCCGAGCCUGGUUUGAAGGAUCUGGCAUGAACACACAUGAAAAACUUGCUAGCUCCUUACCCGCUGCAGAAAAUGUAAGUAAGGAGAAGUAGUCAGAAAGACGUGUCCUUCCAGCAGGCGUGGAUGUCACUGGUGUCCGCACAGCUACUGGCACACCAGGAGCCAUUCCCCCUGAGAAGGAGGGUGGUGCUGAAGCAGAGGCACACGACCUUAGGUUUCACUUUCCCAGCUGAAGGCUCAGAAAACAAAAACCAGAGACCUUGGGGAAGAAAGCACACGUGUGGAGAUUGAUGACUCUGGGAGUGGUCCCCUCUUUCGUGUGUGGGUCCUGGGGAUGAACUCAGAUUGCCUGGCUCGUGGCAAAGACCUCUCUCUACCAACGCAGCUGUGGCUCCCCUCUACACUGCUUUUAUAGCUCUUUAUGUAUCUCAUUAUUUCAUAGUGACAGGACUUUUUUUUUAAAAAAAAAAUGAAAGAUUGUAAAAACUUGCGGGUAUUGCGUUCCAUUCAUUAAGUAACACACGGGAACAGAAUUUACUUUGCUGAGACACUGAUAAAGUCUUUAAAUGUGGUCUACUUUUUUUUUUAAAUGCUUUAUUUUUAUUGUAUUUGCACUGGUGUUUUUUUUCUGCAUGUAUGUCAAUGUGAGGAUGUUGUAUCCCCUGGAGCUGGGGUUACAGUUGUGAGCCACCAUGUAGUUUCUGGAAAUUGAACCCAGGUCCUCUGGAAGAACAGCCAGUGUUCUUUUGAUUUGAUUUUUUGAGACAGAGUUUCUCUGUGUAGCCUUGGCUGUCCUCGAACUCACAGUGAUCCACCUGUCUCUGCCUCCCGGAGUGCUGGGACUAAAGGUGUGUGCUAUCACGCCUAGCUAAACCAGUGUUCUUAACCACUGAGCCAUCUCUCCAAUGUCAGUACUUCACUUCUGGAUCUAUGUGGGUUUUUUUGAGAUGGUUUCUCUGUGUAGCCCUGCCUGUUCUGGAACUUACUCUGUAAAUCAGGCCAGCCACAAACUUAGAGACCCUCCUGCCUGACUGCUGGGAUUAAAAGCAUACAUCUGAAUCUUUGAGUUUAAAGGUCUUCCCAUAAGGUUUUC